rnacentral:tRNA from 1 species
GGGGCUGUAGCUCAGCUGGGAGAGCACGUGACUGGCAGUCACGGGGUCGAGGGUUCAAAUCCCUUCAGCUCCACCA